UACGGGAGGCAGCAGUGGGGAAUAUUGCACAAUGGGCGAAAGCCUGAUGCAGCUAUGCCGCGUGUAUGAAGAAGGCCUUAGGGUUGUAAAGUACUUUCAUCGGGGAGGAAAAAACAAAACUAAUAAUUUUAUUUCUUGACGUUACCCGAAAAAGAAGCACCGGCUAACUCCGUGCCAGCAGCCGCGGUAAUACGGAGGGUGCUAGCGUUAAUCAGAAUUACUGGGCGUAAAGAGCACGUAGGUGGUUUUUUUAAGUCAGAUGUGAAAUCCCUGGGCUUAACCUAGGAACUGCAUUUUGAAACUGAAAUACUAGAGUAUCGUAGAGGGAGGUAGAAUUCUAGGUGUAGCGGUGAAAUGCGUAGAUAUCUGGAGGAAAUACCUGUGGCGAAAGCGGCCUCCUAAACGAAUACUGACACUGAGGUGCGAAAGCGUGGGGAGCGAAACAGGGAUUAGGAUACC
rnacentral:rRNA from 1 species